rnacentral:rRNA from 1 species
UGUGUAGGCGGUUGCUUAAGUUUGGUGUGAAAUCUCCCGGCUCAACUGGGAGGGUGCGCCGAAUACUGAGUGACUAGAGUGCGGGAGAGGAGAGUGGAAUUCCUGGUGUAGCGGUGAAAUGCGUAGAUAUCGGGAGGAACACCGGUGGUGUAGACGGCUCUCUGGACCGUAACUGACGCUGAGACACGAAAGCGUGGGUAGCAAACAGGAUUAGAUACCCUGGUAGUCCACGCCCUAAACGAUGCAUAUUUGGUGUGGGCAGUUCAGUCUGUCCGUGCCGGAGCUAACGCGUUAAAUAUGCCGCCUGGGGAGUACAGCCGCAAGGCUGAA